rnacentral:rRNA from 1 species
GUGGGGAAUAUUGGGCAAUGGGCGCAAGCCUGACCCAGCAACGCCGCGUGAAGGAAGAAGGCUUUCGGGUUGUAAACUUCUUUUAAGAGGGACGAAAGAAAUGACGGUACCUCUUGAAUAAGCCACGGCUAACUACGUGCCAGCAGCCGCGGUAAUACGUAGGUGGCAAGCGUUAUCCGGAUUUACUGGGUGUAAAGGGCGUGUAGGCGGGACUGCAAGUCAGAUGUGAAAACUAUGAGCUCAACUCAUAGCCUGCAUUUGAAACUGUAGUUCUUGAGUGCUGGAGAGGCAAUCGGAAUUCCGUGUGUAGCGGUGAAAUGCGUAGAUAUACGGAGGAACACCAGUGGCGAAGGCGGAUUGCUGGACAGUAACUGACGCUGAGGCGCGAAAGCGUGGGGAGCAAACAGGAUUAGAAACCCGAGUAGUCC